ncrna:Bacteroides thetaiotaomicron VPI-5482 Fluoride riboswitch
CUUUGCACCGGCUAUGGGAUUAGCCUUUAACCGCCCUUUGGAGCUGAUGAUCCCUACAAUUUG